GCGUCUGUCGUAUAAUGGUUAUUAUCUCUGCCUUCCAUUACCACUCGUUCCGCUGGACCAGGGUAAGUUAGCAGAGGACGCGAGUUCGAUUCUCGCCGGACGCA
rnacentral:tRNA from 1 species